CAAUGGGAGCUGUCAUACCCAGCCUGGUCAUCCAAGAACCAAGAGAGAGCCAGGAACUGAAGUGUCUUUAGACAAGAAUUGGCCUCUGCAGAUCCAGGGCCACCUGUUUUUCUGGCCCAGCUUAGAUGCCCCCAAUUCCUGACACACAGGACCCAAGAGGUGUUUCAUGUUUCAUGCCCCUAGGGCUUGAGGUCAUUUGCUGCCACCUGGAAUAGAGUGGAUGAAGAUUUGGACAUCAAGGUGUGCUAAGGUAAACUGAGGACGGAAGAGGUCAGAGGGAUUAUACCACAGGACAUGCUCUGAGGGCGAAGGAGGACCCUGGACCAGUUGCUGUGGGAUCUGCCCAACAAGCCAAACGGGAAACCCAGGAAACCCAGUUACUCAGGAGAGUGUGUGAGAAGGAGGCUAAAUCUCUCAGGAACUCCCACGAGGGUGUUAAAAAAUACUGCACACUGGGGCUGGCUUAUCCAGCCCGGGACCUCCACAGCAGUGCUCAGCAAGACCCACAGUCUCACCCCAAGGCAUUCCAACACAGUUGCUGAGGGAUGUCACCUUCUUCCACUGAUGCUGCUUCUCAUGGCAGUCAUGGCUGCAGGGUGCUCAUUCAGUCUGGCCCAGGGCUGCACACCACUCAUUCAGUCUGGCCUCUCUUCCUGCCCCUUCUCUUUGGCCCAGAGACCAACAUGGACACUCCUCUCUGCUUUCUCUGCAUCUUACCUCAGGCACCUCUCAGUGACCCAUGGAAGAAACGGGAGAAGAUGAAGCUCCACACAGGCUUGGCUUUUGAGACAGGAGUGAGACUUAAAAGGGGCCCUCAGUGGUCAUCAAGUUCAUGGCUGACAAUGGGAGUGUGCUCACCCCUCUCUGAUUGCCUUUUCUCCUGUCACCCUGGGGUUUGGAGGCAGGAGGCAAAGGGCACUCGAGGGAAUCCUGGUGGGACAGGUGGUUGGUAAAUUGAUUCCUCCCCAAGCCUGGGGUGUAGCAGCAAGCUGUGCCCAUUAAGCCUCUUACUGCCAGCUAAGUGUGCUGGUCUGAGGGCUCGAGUGAAAAGUUGAGACUGAUGGGGGUACAGAAGAUGGCACGAGGCGCCAGACAGCCAUUUGCUUAGCAAACUCACUAAUUCUAACCUCUGCCUCUCAGACCAAAGAUCUUUUGA